rnacentral:lncRNA from 1 species
AUUCAGAGAGAAACAGCUGAGAUCUACUUACCUGGAACAAAAGCCACUGUAGCCACAAACUGCCAAUGAAAAUUUUGGAACCAUUUCUAUAAACUACAUAGCCAAUUACAAUUUUGAAACCAUCCCUAUAAACUUCAUAAAGUUAAUCAGGGAAGAAGAAAGGGGCAAACAACAACAACAAAAACAACAACAAAACCCAAGUUAGCAGCACAAGCA